rnacentral:rRNA from 1 species
GAUGAACGCUGGCGGCGUGCCUAAUACAUGCAAGUCGAGCGAACAGACGAGGAGCUUGCUCCUCUGACGUUAGCGGCGGACGGGUGAGUAACACGUGGAUAACCUACCUAUAGGACUGGGAUAACUUCGGGAAACCGGAGCUAAUACCGGAUAAUAUAUUGAACCGCAUGGUUCAAUAGUGAAAGACGGUUUUGCUGUCACUUAUAGAUGGAUCCGCGCCGCAUUAGCUAGUUGGUAAGGUAACGGCUUACCAAGGCAACGAUGCGUAGCCGACCUGAGAGGGGGAUCGGCCACACUGGAACUGAGACACGGUCCAGACUCCUACGGGAGGCAGCAGUAGGGAAUCUUCCGCAAUGGGCGAAAGCCUGACGGAGCAACGCCGCGUGAGUGAUGAAGGUCUUCGGAUCGUAAAACUCUGUUAUUAGGGAAGAACAAAUGUGUAAGUAACUAUGCACGUCUUGACGGUACCUAAUCAGAAAGCCACGGCUAACUACGUG